CUUAUUUUAUGGGGGUUUAGAAGGAUAUUUGUCGGAGGUUUGCGGAGGGUGUCGGGGUAUCAAUUAUCGAUGUGAGCAAUGAUCGAAAAGUUACGUAUGUUCUUCAUAUAGUGUAAUUAUUGUGCCUUACGCCUGGUUGGACAGGCUUUGAGAAGUCGCUGUUCUGAGCUUAACGUCUGUUUAACUGAAACGCCGCAUUCUACACUACAACGCUGAGGCGAGGAAAUGUUCAUAAAGUCAGGAUAGCGGGAACUGGAAACGGCAUCGCUUUUCUGAUGUAAAACAUCGUAAGAGAAGCAUGAUGCCCGAUGGCGCAAGCUUAUCGGGUCUACUGGACUUGCUGAUCGUUUGAAAGUCGGAUAAGGCGAAACCGCCAUCCGGCAAGAAUAUCAUGGUGCCGUUUCGGUGGAGGGCGUUUCAACGCGAAUCAUACUGGACGGGAGAGCAACAUUAAGAAUAACGGGUUGCCAGGCUUCGCGUUCAGCCAGCUUGCGGGAAUAGCCACGGGCAAUCAGGAAUCCGCCGACGCCGCCCAGUAUCGCGCCGCUUAACGCCGCGAGAUCUGAGCCAAACAGCACCUGAAACAGGGAGGCGAUGAGGAAUAACCCCACCAGCGGCGACAGAUAAACCAGCAUGGCGGAACCUAACAGACUGCCUUCGGCAAUCCCCAGCUCCACUUUCUGCCCAGGUUCUAACGGCACAUCGCUCGCCACCACAAUGGUAUGCGUGGUCUGCGGCCCGAGUUUAUUCAGCACGCGGGUGCCACAUCCUGAACGUGAAGCGCAGCUGCUGCAGGACGCUUUCACAUCACAGCUCACCAAUGCCUCACCGUUUUGCCAUGACACCACGGUAGCCCACUCUUUGAUCAUUGCGCGGCUCCGAACUUAAUGGUGUCGGCAAUGCG
rnacentral:ncRNA from 1 species